UUUGUAAUGAAAAUGUAAAUCGUUCAGUUCUAAGCGAAUUAGAAACCAAUUCUAGGGUCAUAACACCGAUGGAAAUAUCUCCGGUUCCUAUAAAAAAACCCAGCCUUUCAAUCGUGGCAGGCCAGCAGGAAAGUCCACGUUAAUAACAUCUUCGCCUUAUAAAAAAUCUUUACAAAUUUCAUUGGAGAAAGCAUCCGAAAAAGAACCUCUGAGAAAAGCCAACAGACGAUAGGAUAUUGAUUCGAAUGAACCCAGCUCUUCCAAGGGAAUUAUCAAAAAACUAAAUUUUGCAAAAGAAAAGUGUACAGAACCCAAAAAACACCAAGAUAAUUCUAGUCAACCCAGCACUUCCAAAGCACUUAUGAAAUCAAUAAAUUCAGCAAGAGAAAAAUGUUCAGGAAAAAGGAAGAAAACAAAUUCCUCAUCCUCUUCGGACUUGGAUGACAAUUACAGUGUCCGGGCCGAAUCUGACGGUGAAAUUUUAGAAUUUGUAAACGCCGGUGAGAAAGAGGAUGCGAAAUGCCUAUAUUGCUCUACGUUUUAUUCGGAAGAUCGGUCUGGUGAAAUAUGGGUUCAAUGUGUCUCUUGCAAAAAUUGGAGCCAUGAGGAAUGUGCUGGUUGUGAACAAAUUUCUUUAUAUGCGACAUGUGUACACAAUAAUAACUUCGGCUAAUAUGGACUAC
rnacentral:lncRNA from 1 species